UUAAAGCGCCGGACAUUCGCUUUUCGUCCUCUCAUUUUCGUAAACAACACCCCCGCCACGAGAAGGCAGUUAAGCAACGUUGGGCCCGGUCAGUACUUGCAUGGGUGACCGGCUGGGAAUACCGGGUGUCGCCGGCU
rnacentral:rRNA from 1 species